GACGAACGCUGGCGGCGUGCUUAACACAUGCAAGUCGAGCGGUAAGGCCUUUCGGGGUACACGAGCGGCGAAUGGGUGAGUAACACGUGGGUGAUCUGCCCUGCACUCUGGGAUAAGCCUGGGAAACUGGGUCUAAUACUGGAUAUGACCUCAGCAUGCAUGUGCUGGGGUGGAAAGCUUUUGUGGUGCAGGAUGGGCCCGCGGCCUAUCAGCUUGUUGGUGGGGUAAUGGCCUACCAAGGCGACGACGGGUAGCCGACCUGAGAGGGUGACCGGCCACACUGGGACUGAGACACGGCCCAGACUCCUACGGGAGGCAGCAGUGGGGAAUAUUGCACAAUGGGCGGAAGCCUGAUGCAGCGACGCCGCGUGAGGGAUGAAGGCCUUCGGGUUGUAAACCUCUUUCAGCAGGGACGAAGCGUGAGUGACGGUACCUGCAGAAGAAGCACCGGCUAACUACGUGCCAGCCGCCGCCGUAAUAC
rnacentral:rRNA from 1 species